CAUUACUGUCGCGUUGAUAAUCUAACGUGGGUAGAGCUGGCACUCAGGUGCAACCAGAAGGUGCUCCCCCUUUUCAUUCUUAUACACCCUGUGCACCUUGAAGGACCGCAAGGACCACCAGUGGGACGCCACUUGUGGAUGUGAGUGGGACGCUGCUCAUUCCUUUCCCCUUCUUAUAUAAAUGCCUGUUAUAUGCAUGUCUUAUGAUCCCCUUCAUGGGGAAAUAAACUAUAACAACUUUCAACAACGGAUCUCUUGGCUUUUGCAUCGAUGAAGAACGCCGCGAACGUGCGAAACGUAAUGUGAAUUGCAGAAUUCAGUGAAUCAUCGAAUCUUUGAACGCAUCUUGCGCUCCUUGGUAUUCCGAGGAGCAUGCCUGUUUGAGUGUCAUGAAAUCUCUCAAUGACCUUGGUUGUCAUUGGACUUGGAUGUUGCUGUUGUGGCUCAUCUGAAAUGGAUUAGCUGGUCUGUGACCUCUGGCUUGGGUGUGAUAAUAAGUCACUCUUACCCAGAGUAACAUGACUGCUUCCAGUGGUCCCUUUAGGGGACACUCUAUGUCGUUUGACCUCAAAUCAGGUAGGACUACCCGCUGAACUUAA
rnacentral:rRNA from 1 species